CCAGGAGGAAAGGGGAGACACAAGGAAGGAGAAGGGCCUUUUCAGAGCCUGCAGCGCUAUGGGAGAGUGACCAAGGAUGUUUGACAAGGGCAGAGGGAAUAAGCUACUAAGAUUAGGGUAGGAGGAGAGGCAGAGAUAAAAAAUUGCUAAGGGCGCACUCUUCCAGGUGGGAGUUAUCUGUGCUCAGCAGCAGUUGUGCCUAGUAGGUAAGUUAAAGUAACAAGGCUGUGUGUGUGUCUUAUCCUCAGAUUCAAGGGUCAAGAGAGUGGCUGGAGCUAAAGGCAAGAAAGUCAAAAGAGAAGCCGAGUUAGGGCUGGUGGCAGCUGAUCCCAGAGCUAAGUGGAGUGGAACAAAAGAGAUGUUGGGAGGGGCUGUUAUCGUGGCCUCGGAAAGGCGGUAGCAUUUUAAAACUACAUGCAACAGGGAGUGGCACUUUUAGAAGAUGUGUUCCUGUUGGAGUGGUUGUGACCUUAUUGGAGGAAGUGUGUCACUAUGGAGGCAGACUUUAAGACCCUCAUCCUAGCUGCCUGGAAGUCAGUAUUUUGCUAGCAGCCUUCAGAUGAAGAUGUAGAACUCUCAGCUCCUCCUGUACCAUGUCUGCCUGCACAUUGUCAUGCUCCCACCUUGAUCAUACUGGACUGAACCUCUCAACCUGUAAGCCAGCCCCAAUAAAAUGUUGUCUUUGUAAUAGU
rnacentral:lncRNA from 1 species